rnacentral:rRNA from 1 species
UCAUGGGCACAUGGUGGAUGCCUUGGCGUGCCGGGGCCGACGAAGGACGCGGCCACGCGGCGAAAUGCCCCGGGGAGGCGCUGGCAGCCGGUGAUCCGGGGAUCUCCGAAUGGGGCAACCCGCCCGGGGUCAUGCCCGGGCGCCCCUGGUGAGAGCCAGGGGCGGGAACCAGGGGAACUGAAUCAUCUCAGUACCCUGAGGAACAGAAAUCAAUCGAGAUUCCGUCAGUAGUGGAGAGCGAACGCGGAACAGCCCAAACCGGGGUGGCUGAGUGGCCUGCCGGCCUAUGUCAUCCCGGGGUUGGAGGAGCUAGCAGGGGGUGCGGCAGCGCCUCCGGGGAGUUACCAACCUUCCUCCGCGCUGAAGGCUAUGGGAUGGGCCGCCACAGAAGGUGACAGCCCUGUAGGUGCAUGGAGGAAGGCUCCCGCUGGCAGCCUGAGUACCACGGUCCGCCAUCUCCUAGGCCGUGGGAAGCGGGGUGGACCACCAUCCAAGGCUAAAUACCCCGGCGACCGAUAGAGGACCAGUACCGCGAGGGAACGGUGAAAAGCACCCCGGUGAGGGGAGUGAAAGAGAUCCUGAAACCAUGUGCCCCCAGCCAGUCGGAGCCAGGGGCUGACCCUGGUGACGGCGUGCCUAUUGGAACAGGAGCCGGCGAGUGACUCCGCGUCGCGAGCCUAAGGCAGGGACAGCCGGAGGCGGAGCGAAAGCGAGUCCGAAAGGGCGAUCAGCGGCGUGGAGCGAAACCCGAAACCGGGCGAGCUACCCAUGGCCAGGGCGAAACGGGGGCGACAAACCCUCGUGGAGGUCCGAACCCGUUACCGGUGCAAAGGUAUGGGAGGAGCUGUGGGUAGGGGUGAAAUGCCAAUCAAGCUCGGAGAUAGCUGGUUCUCCCCGAAAUGCAUUGAGGUGCAGCCUCGGGAGUUCGGAGACGGAGGUAGAGCACUGACCGGGGUAGGUGGCCGAGGAGGCUGCUCAACCCGCUCAAACUCCGAAUGCCGUCUCCCCAAGCCCGGGAGUGAGGCGGUGGGGGACAAGCUCCAUCGUCGAGAGGGGAACAACCCAGACCUCCGGCUAAGGCCCCCAAGUCCGGACUCAGUUCAUCCAGGCGAAGGACGUGGGAGCGCCAUGACAGCCAGGCGGUUGGAUCAAAAGCGUCCAUCCGCUAAAGAGUGCGUGCAAGCUCACUGGCCGAGCGCUCCUGCACCGAGGAAUGUAACGGGGCUAAGUCCGGCGCCGAAGCCGUGGAUCGAGCCAUCUGGUUGUGCAGCGACCGGCCGUCAGCACCUGAUGGCGGAAGGCUGUUCGCUGGUGGCUUGAUGGUAGGGGAGCGUCGGGUGUCCGGUGAAGCGAAGCUGAAAAGCUUCGUGGAGGCGCAUCCGAGAGCGAAUGCCGGCACGAGUAGCGAGAGACGGGUGAAAACCCCGUCCGCCGCAAGCCGAAGGGUUCCCACGCAACGUCGAUCGGCGUGGGGUGAGCCGGGCCUAAGCUGAGGCCGAGAGGCGUAGGUGAUGGACAGUCCGGUUGAUAUUCCGGCGCCGCUCGUGGCUUCCUUGUGAUAAGCCCCGGGGUGCGCGGGAGGACGCUUCCAAGGUGGCGAUGGGUAUGGCUAUGUUGGGAGUGGCUUCCCGCCGAGAAAAGCCCCGGUGUGAACGCCACGGGCGUCCGUACCGCAAACCGACACAGGUCGGCGAGGAGAGUAUCCUCAGGCGAGCGAGCGAACCCUCGUCAAGGAAUUCGGCAAAUUGAGCCCGUAACUUCGGGAGAAGGGCUGCCGGCGACAGCCGGCCGCAGAGGAGAGGCCCGGGCGACUGUUUACCAAAAACACCGGUCCUUGCUAACGCGUAAGCGGACGUAUAAGGGCUGAGGCCUGCCCAGUGCCGGGAACCAAGGGGAGGGGUGGCCCUCCGCUCCAAACCGAAACCCCGGUAAACGGCGGCCGUAACCGUGACGGCCCGAAGGUAGCAGAAUGCCUUGACGGCUAACUACCGUCGUGCACGAACGGCGUAACGACCCGGGCACUGUCUCGACGAGGGACUCGGCGAAACUGACGUGGCCGUGAACAGGCGGCCGACCCGCGCCCGGACAAAGAGACCCCGGGAGCUUGACUGUAGCUCGGUCUUGGGCGGCUGCCCCUGGUGAAGCGUAUGGUCGGAGGCAGAGAACUCACGGCGAAACAGGCCGUGAGGGAGCCGGCACUACGACCCAGCCAGGGGCGCAACGCCCUCACCCGGCUCGUAAAGAGCCGGGGACAGGGCUGGGUGGGCAGUUUGACUGAGGUGGUGCCCUCCCAAAAUGUAACGGAGGGGUCCAAAGGUCCCCUCAGCACGAAUGGCGACCGUGCGGUGAGGACAAAGCCAUCAAGGGGGCCUGACUGUGAGGCUGUCCAGCCGAACAGAGACGAAAGUCGGGCUUAGUGACGCUACGGCUCCACGUGGGCGGGCCGUAGUUGCAACGGAUAAAAGCUUCCCCGGGGACAAACAGGCCAAUCCCGCCCGAGAGACCCCAUCGACGGCGGCGCUUGGCACUACGAUGUCGGCUCGUCGCAUCCUGGGGCUGGAGAAGGUCCCAAGGGUUGAGCUGUUCGCCCAUGAAAGCGGCAUGUGAGCUGGAAUCAGAACUUCGUGAGAGCGUUCGAUCUCUAUCCGGCGCGGGCGUUGGAGGCUUGAGGGGAGCUGCCCCCAGUACGAGAGGACCGGGGCGGACCAACCGCUGGUGUCCCAGUUGUCUCACCCAGGGCAUCGCUGGGUAGCCACGUUGGGACGGGAUAAGCGCUGAAAGCAUCUAAGCGCGAAGCCCUCCCCAAGACGAGGCCUCCCACCCUGCGAAAGGGUCAAGGCCCUACCGAGACAAGGUGGUCUAUAGGCGGCAGGUGGACGGCGGGUAACCGACCGAAGCUGAGCCGUCCUAAUGG